rnacentral:rRNA from 1 species
UAUCGGAACGUACCCUGGAGUGGGGGAUAACGUAGCGAAAGUUACGCUAAUACCGCAUACGAUCUAAGGAUGAAAGUGGGGGAUCGCAAGACCUCAUGCUCCUGGAGCGGCCGAUAUCUGAUUAGCUAGUUGGUGGGGUAAAGGCCUACCAAGGCAUCGAUCAGUAGCUGGUCUGAGAGGACGACCAGCCACACUGGAACUGAGACACGGUCCAGACUCCUACGGGAGGCAGCAGUGGGGAAUUUUGGACAAUGGGCGAAAGCCUGAUCCAGCAAUGCCGCGUGAGUGAAGAAGGCCUUCGGGUUGUAAAGCUCUUUUGUCAGGGAAGAAACGGUGAGAGCUAAUAUCUCUUGCUAAUGACGGUACCUGAAGAAUAAGCACCGGCUAACUACGUGCCAGCAGCCGCGGUAAUACGUAGGGUGCAAGCGUUAAUCGGAAUUACUGGGCGUAAAGCGUGCGCAGGCGGUUUUGUAAGUCUGUCGUGAAAUCCCCGGGCUCAACCUGGGAAUUGCGAUGGAGACUGCAAGGCUAGAAUCUGGCAGAGGGGGGUAGAAUUCCACGUGUAGCAGUGAAAUGCGUAGAGAUGUGGAGGAACACCGAUGGCGAAGGCAGCCCCCUGGGUCAAGAUUGACGCUCAUGCACGAAAGCGUGGGGAGCAAACAGGAUUAGAUACCCUGGUAGUCCACGCCCUAAACGAUGUCUACUAGUUGUCGGGUUUUAAUUAACUUGGUAACGCAGCUAACGCGUGAAGUAGA